CAGGACUCUGCCAGGUGAGCGCAGCAGCGACGUAGGAAGGCUGGAGCCCAGAGCAGGAAUCGAAUCUGCACUCCCUGCAGUGGAAGCACCAAGUCUUAACCACUGGACCUCCAGGGAUAUCCUGCCAACUCAGCUUUUAUACUCAGUGUUUGCUUGCAGUGAUUGAGGGAAUCUAAUAAAAAUGAGGGUGUAAAACUGCUUCCUCAAGCCACUCCUUAACACCACCGCAACUCAGCCAGCAAAGAGGAGGCAGCUCUGAGCUCUACCUGCUCCACCUGAACUUCACCUUGCCCAGAUCAGAAAGGGUCCAAGUUGGAAUCUACCAGAGGACUCAUCAGCUCCCUCUGUACCUUAACCCUCAGGGUCAAUUUCUCAAUCCCAGAGAUUUUUACAAAAUCAGGAGCCCACGUGCUCUCAAUGCUAGGGCCCCUCCAAGGCUGCGAGAAGGGUCUGGGGGGCACAGGAAUCCUGGACAGGUUGACCGGCCGUCUUGUCUGUCUGGGACAGGGCUGCUCCCAGGAUA